rnacentral:rRNA from 1 species
AUUGAACGCUGGCGGCAGGCUUAACACAUGCAAGUCGAGCGGAGCGAGGGUGCUUGCACCUUAGCUUAGCGGCGGACGGGUGAGUAAUGCUUAGGAAUCUGCCUAUUAGUGGGGGACAACAUUCCGAAAGGAAUGCUAAUACCGCAUACGCCCUACGGGGGAAAGCAGGGGAUCUUCGGACCUUGCGCUAAUAGAUGAGCCUAAGUCGGAUUAGCUAGUUGGUGGGGUAAAGGCCUACCAAGGCGACGAUCUGUAGCGGGUCUGAGAGGAUGAUCCGCCACACUGGAACUGAGACACGGCCCAGACUCCUACGGGAGGCAGCAGUGGGGAAUAUUGGACAAUGGGCGGAAGCCUGAUCCAGCCAUGCCGCGUGUGUGAAGAAGGCCUUUUGGUUGUAAAGCACUUUAAGCGAGGAGGAGGCUACUUAGAUUAAUACUCUAGGAUAGUGGACGUUACUCGCAGAAUAAGCACCGGCUAACUCUGUGCCAGCCGCCGCCGUAAGAC